AAACUAAAUCCAACAUGAGAUAUUUAGUAUGGAAUGAAUAGAGAUACACAAGAUAACACACAGAAAAAAAGUCCUCAAAAAUAUCACUACAGGAUACUGAAAUAUCACAUCAUAUUUAUUGGGGGAAAAAGUAUUUUCCAAUGUCCGUUAUCAUGCACUGUGCGCUAUUUUUUCUCUACUUCCGGAAAGAAGUAAACAUCGCAUUUCGCUGUCAAAUUGUUUGGAACACACUCUGUUCGAAGAAUACUGGUUAUUGUCAAGUGAAUCGUGUAUGUGCUGAGGAGAAUUGUGUUAUUUGCGAUAUGAAAGACGAACGUAAAAUAGCAACAUUGGGUGAAAAAAAAUGUAGAUAGUUAAUUUCUGCAGCCAGGAAUAAAGGAGAACAAAUGUAUGUUAGACCUGAGAAAAUUGUGUGCUAUGAGUGUAGAAAAAUUACUGCCACCCGAAUCUACUUGGAGAUGCAAACGGUACCUCUAUAACGUAGCGAAACGGACACAUUCAUCUGACUUCUUUUCAUUUCAAAUGCCUGUUCUGUGGAACAGAUGCCAAACAAAAUGACAAAAAGGCAUAUGAUAAUUUCCAAAUUUCAGUCAACAAUAAAGAAAAAUUGGAAGCGAAGUCUUCUGUUGACUCUAAUCCGUACAUGAUCUAACAGCAGCUGCUGCAAGAUAUCAUCAAAAAUGUAGCACACAUUUCAGAACAGGAUGUCAAGUUCCGACUAUACAUCAAACACCUCAAAAUACAGUAAAACGUAGUAAAGGUAGACCAACAAAAGAAUCAUCUCAAGAGGCAUUUUUGAAAACCAUGCAUUAUUUUGAAAACACUGAAAGUGAACAAAUAGCUUAAAUUAUUGAAUGAUCCCAGGCAGAGUCUUUGUAAUAAACACUCUUAACGUGAUGACAUUGAAACAGCUGGUAGUAUAUCAUUCAAAAUUAUGUUUGUACAAAGGUAAAACAAAUGACACAUUGAGGUACAGAAAAUUCAUUACGAAGGCAACAAGCACAUCGGUAGUAAAGAUACAGACCCUAACUCCUACAGAGGCAACUGCAAAGUUUCAGAAUUUUAGAGUGCACUGCCAUUAAAAUAGAGACAUGGAUUGGAAAGGAAACGAACCCUUUUGACUUGGGAUGGUACAAACGUGGUGAUAAACUUGUUCCUUGGCACAGAGGUUGCUCUACUGGGAUGGCUGUAAAUGUCAUGACAUAAACACUUAACUGACUUUCAUAAUCUUGAGAGCAAUGAAAAGUUUUUCGAACAUACUAACUUUAUAAUUGAGCAUAUUUUUACAGUAUAUCGCAUCACAGAGUUUUGUUCUCACAUGUUUGUACAUUACGGCUUUGUGUACAUUUGCCGUUACAUUUGCUGUUAGCUGAAAAUUGUAGUUUAGUAUCGAUUUAAAUUUACUGUAGUAACCUGUUCUAUAUAUACUAUAGUACAGUCACUGUUGAUCUGGGAUUCUUUUCCUGAAUGUUUCUUAAUAUACUGUUGUUAUUAUAACAUUUAUUACAUUUAGUGCGAGUUUCAAGGAAAUAGUUUAAAGAUAUUGCAUGCACGUUUUAUUGAUGGGUGGACCCGCCCGCUUAGCGCAUUGGGAAGAGCACCGAUCUACGGAUCGCGGGAUCGUGAGUUGGAUCCUUGGGCGGGCCGUAUGUUCUCCAUGACGACUUGAUAAAAGACAUUGUGUCUGAAAUCAUUCAUCCUCCACCUUUGAUUCAUGUGGGGAAGUUGGUAGUUACUUGCGGAUAACAGGUUUGUACAGGUACAGAAUCCAGGAACACUGGUUAAGUUAACUGCCUGCCGAUACAUAACUGAAAUACUGUUUAAAAACGGCGUUAAAUCCAACACAAAUAAAAUUGAUGGGUGGGGUAAAUCUAUAGUGUAAAUGAAUUUAUUAGUAAAUGUCACAACAAAGCUUAGUAUCGGCUUUAAUUUAUGUGAUAUUUUAUAUAAUCAAUGCCUCUGAUCGAAGAAAUAAACCAACGUAUAGGUUUAAACUAAUGUAUGUUACCUAAUGAAUGAACUUCUUUAUUCGUCUGAAUCAUUGAAUUGCAAAGAGGGUGCCCUUCAUAAUCUAUUUUUUUAAGAUUUUCCAAUGGGAAUUUUUUUGAGGACUUUUUUUCUAAAAUGCUCUAAUGUUUAAAGAUUAUAAAACAAGAAAAACAUUUCAUGUUGGAAUUUGUUUAACCUUUUGACAUAAUAUGUGGUAAUAUGACCGGCCUAAGUGGAUUUCUAUGCAUUUUAAUUACUCCUGUUAAAACUGUUUACCUUAAAGUACUAGAAAUGUUACAUGUGACUGCAUCGACCGAAAAUCUGUUCAUUAAUUCGAAAUGUUGUAAGGUUUUCCAGCAAUACCCCUAGGGAAACAUCUCAUUGAGAGACAACAGCUAAACUAUUUAAACAAGAAAUAGCUUUAUAAAAAAUAGUUGACUAAUUGAUAUCAGUCCAUAAAUACUACUUCAAUAAAAGACUAUAAUACUGAUCAAACAUUUACCUAUAAAACAAUUACUUUCAUCAAUGAGCACGUUUUUAAAAUUACCCCCGAGAUGUAACAAAUCAAUUAAAUAAAUGGAUGUGAAAGUACAGACGUGCAAUAACACCAUCCUUUUUACUUAAUGGCUGUGAAAGCUUAUUAAUAAUUCUACAGUCUUGCAAUAACACCAUUUUAAUUUGAUUUUGCUUUGAUCAGACAACUAAUUAUUCAAUUAUCGCGCAGCAUGUUUGCACGCAUGAAGCAAUACCAUGACAUUCACAUAUAUCUUGUAUAGAUAUUAAACAUUACCAGUUACUCCAGACAUAAUUAAUCAGUAAGGACAUAUAUUUGGAAUUAUUUACAAACAGAAGUCAGUAAAGUAAUUUCUGAUCAAAGAAACAGUCGGAUAUUCAGAGCAGUUUUUAGCACAAAUUAAAUUACAUUUUCUGCACUUGCGUUAUAAGACUAUCUGCUUUUGAAAUACAUGCAGUUUAUUUUUUGAACAUGGAAAAAGAAGGAGAGCUACAUAACCGAAGUAUGUCAGGGGUUUUAAGAUCCUUAGCAGAAUCAAGUUCCUGGCAUGGCGUACCAAAGAUUGCUUCUUCACCACAGCGGACAGUUAAAUGUCUUUGGUGCCUUUUGAUGCUAGGGGCUUUCGGAUUUAUGUUGUGGCAACUGUCGGAACUAUUCGUAACAUUUCGGUCACAUCCUGUUCAGACCGCCGUCUCUCUAGAAUUCAGUUCCCAUAGAUUCCCAGCCGUGACCUUCUGUAACCUCAACCCAGUUAGGUCCUCACAAAUUGACUUGUCACCAGAACUGAAAAAUG